UACGAAGGGGGCUAGCGUUGCUCGGAAUCACUGGGCGUAAAGCGCACGUAGGCGGCUUGGCAAGUCGGAUGUGAAAUCCCUCGGCUCAACCAAGGAAGUGCAUCCGAAACUGCCGAGCUUGAGUACUUAAGAGGAUCGCGGAAUUCCCGGUGUAGAGGUGAAAUUCGUAGAUAUCGGGAGGAACACCGGUGGCGAAGGCGGGUCUCUGGGCAACAACUGACGCUGAGGAGCGAAAGCGUGGGGAGCGAACAGG
rnacentral:rRNA from 1 species